GUCUCAGUUCGGAUUGCAGGCUGCAACUCGCCUGUAUGAAGUCGGAAUUGCUAGUAAUCGCGGAUCGGCAUGCCGCGGUGAAUACGUUCCCGGGCCUUGUACACACCGCCCGUCACACCAUGAGAGUCGGUAACACCCGAGGUCUGUAGCCUGACGCAAGAGGGCGCAGCCGAAGGUGGGAUUGAUGACUGGGGUGAAGUCGUAACAAGGUACC
rnacentral:rRNA from 1 species